rnacentral:rRNA from 1 species
GGAAUUUUCGGCAAUGGGGGGAACCCUGACCGAGCAACGCCGCGUGAACGAAGAAGUUAUUCGUAAUGUAAAGUUCUUUUAUUUGCGAAGAAGAAAGUGACGGUACCUUAGGAAUAAGCCUCGGCUAACUACGUGCCAGCAGCCGCGGUAAUACGUAGGAGGCGAGCGUUAUCCGGAAUGACUGGGCGUAAAGGGUGCGUAGGUGGUUUGGCAAGUUAGUAGCGUAACUCCAAGGCUCAACCUUGGAACUACUACUAAAACUGUUGGACUUGAGUGCAGGAGGGGCAACCGGAAUUCCUAGUGUAGCGGUGGAAUGCGUAGAUAUUAGGAGGAACACCAGUGGCGAAGGCGGGUUGCUAGACUGUAACUGACACUGAGGCACGAAAGCGUGGGGAGCAAACAG